UAAAGAACUUCCUUGAUGUGAUUUUUGGAGUUACUCUGUGGAACUGAAUUGCAUGUUUUCAGAUUAUACGCAAAUUGCAAGAUUCUUCAAGCGUAAAGUCGUAUGCCAGGAGUAUGAUAUUAGCGUUUCUUUUAAGAAGAAUAACUUUGGAAUAAGUACCUUGGCUGGUGAAUUGCCUUCCUUGUCAUUCAUCACUGCAUAUCAUCUUUGUAGAACUGCAGUAACUGGAGGGAAGGAAAAUACUGGUUCAAUUCUCUUCUUGAUGAGACCCCUGCACCUUCACCUAGAUUCCUCCCUGGGCAGCCACGGUGAAUGGAUCUGACCACCGAGGGAAUCUGGCCCACUGAAUUCUAUUUCUUUCUGUGCAGUUGAAUGAAAAGUGUGUGUCUUUUGAAGAACAGUGACUGAAAGAAAUAUUGAUGACUGCCAGGACAUCUACAGAAAAGGAUAAGAAAAUAACUCUACUACAACAGGGAAGAAAAAGGGGCUUUGUUAACUCUUUCUUGUAGGUUGUAUAUAUUAAUAGUAACAACUAAAGUUUUGUAUUUUUUCAGAGAAACACACAAGGCUUUGAAUUGUAUUGUUUUAAUUGCAGCUAACUGAAUGAAUUAAGUGGAAAAUCGCACACAGUACUUUGAUUGUCUAACUCCCUGUAUGUGAGGCUUUGGGAACAGUUUGUUAUUAUAAAAGAACAGCACUAACAAGAACUCAGCCAACAUGUAAUUGCUGGGCUGAGGGGCAGUUUGGGGAA